rnacentral:misc_RNA from 1 species
UCGUAAAACCGAGGUGCGAGGGCUGUCGCUGACUCAAAGUCGUGCACGCCGGAGUGUGUCCUCUCACAUAACAAUCCAUCUCACCCUUUGUGCACCACCGCGUGGGCACCCUUUGGGAUCACACCGAUCUCAGAGGGGGCUCGCGUUUUCACACAAAAAACCCCCUUUGAAAAAGUGUAGAAUGUCCUCAUUUAUGCAAUCAAUA